rnacentral:rRNA from 1 species
CCUACGGGUGGCAGCAGUGGGGGAUAUUGCACAAUGGGGGAAACCCUGAUGCAGCGACGCCGCGUGAGUGAAGAAGUAUUUCGGUAUGUAAAGCUCUAUCAGCAGGGAAGAAAAUGACAGUACCUGACCAAGAAGCCCCGGCUAACUACGUGCCAGCAGCCGCGGUAAUACGUAGGGGGCAAGCGUUAUCCGGAUUUACUGGGUGUAAAGGGAGCGUAGACGGUGAUGUAAGUCUGGAGUGAAAGGCCGGGGCCCAACCCCGGGACUGCUUUGGAAACUGUGUAACUGGAGUGCAGGAGGGGCAGGCGGAAUUCCUGGUGUAGCGGUGAAAUGCGUAGAUAUCAGGAGGAACACCAGCGGCGAAGGCGGCUUGCUGGACUGUAACUGACGUUGAGGCUCGAAAGCGUGGGGAGCAAACAGGAUUAGAUACCCUGGUAGUC